CGACAACCUGUGGGCAGCCUCAGUGGGGGCUGCGGCCUGGGGCAGCGCAAACCCCACUUUAGGGUGGAAAACACAAGGUUGAGCUGAUCCAGGCCUGGCCUCCCCUCUGGCCCAUACUCCCCUGCCCCU
rnacentral:precursor_RNA from 10 species